rnacentral:rRNA from 1 species
CGAGGGGCAUCGGGAGGGAAGCUUGCUUUCCUUGCCGGCGACCGGUGCACGGGUGAGUAACACGUAUGCAACCUGCCCUCUUCAGGGGGACAACCUUCCGAAAGGGAGGCUAAUCCCGCGUAUAUCGGUUUCGGGCAUCCGAGAUCGAGGAAAGAUUCAUCGGAAGAGGAUGGGCAUGCGGCGCAUUAGCUAGACGGCGGGGUAACGGCCCACCGUGGCGACGAUGCGUAGGGGUUCUGAGAGGAAGGUCCCCCACACUGGUACUGAGACACGGACCAGACUCCUACGGGAGGCAGCAGUGAGGAAUAUUGGUCAAUGGGAGAGAUCCUGAACCAGCCAAGCCGCGUGAGGGAAGACGGCCCUAUGGGUUGUAAACCUCUUUUGUCGGAGAACAAAACCCGGGACGAGUCCCGGACUGCGUGUAUCCGAAGAAAAAGCAUCGGCUAACUCCGUGCCAGCAGCCGCGGUAAUACGGAGGAUGCGAGCGUUAUCCGGAUUUAUUGGGUUUAAAGGGUGCGUAGGCGGUCCGUUAAGUCAGCGGUAAAAUUGCGGGGCUCAACCCCGUCGAGCCGUUGAAACUGGCAGACUUGAGUUGGCGAGAAGUACGCGGAAUGCGCGGUGUAGCGGUGAAAUGCAUAGAUAUCGCGCAGAACUCCGAUUGCGAAGGCAGCGUACCGGCGCCAGACUGACGCUGAGGCACGAAAGCGUGGGGAUCGAACAGGAUUAGAUACCCUGGUAGUCCACGCAGUAAACGAUGAAUG